UCGAUUCGUAUAAUGCAGAAA
ensembl:piRNA 21ur-1517 ncRNA